rnacentral:rRNA from 1 species
GUGUGCCUAUGGGGGCAGCAGUGAGGAAUAUUGGUCAAUGGGAGGAAUCCUGAACCAGCCAUGCCGCGUGCAGGACGACGGCUCUACGAGUUGUAAACUGCUUUUGUACCGGGGUAAAAUGCCUUACGAGUAGGGUUUUGAAAGUACGGUACGAAUAAGGAUCGGCUAACUCCGUGCCAGCAGCCGCGGUAAUACGGAGGAUCCGAGCGUUAUCCGGAUUCAUUGGGUUUAAAGGGUGCGUAGGCGGGCCUUCAGGCCGGCGGUAAAAUUGCGGGGCUCAACCCCGC